CUUUUUUUUUUUUUUUUUUUUUUUUUUUUUUUUUUUUGCGUUAUUUUGUCUUGGUUUUUUUUUUAAUUUUUUUUUUUUUUUUUUUUUUUUUUU